GACGAACGCUGGCGGCGUGCCUAACACAUGCAAGUCGAACGGGGUAUUUCUUCGGAGAUACUUAGUGGCGAACGGGUGAGUAACGCGUGAGAAACCUGCCUUUCAGUGGGGGACAACAGUUGGAAACGACUGCUAAUCCCGCAUAAUGUCAUUUGGGGGCAUCCCCGGAUGACAAAAGAUUUAUUGCUGAAAGAUGGUCUCGCGUUUGAUUAGCUAGAUGGCGGGGUAACGGCCCACCAUGGCGACGAUCAGUAGCCGGUCUGAGAGGAUGAACGGCCACAUUGGGACUGAGAUGCGGCCCAGACUCCUACGGGAGGCAGCAGUGGGGAAUAUUGGGCAAUGGGGGAAACCCUGACCCAGCAACGCCGCGUGAAGGAAGAAGGCCUUCGGGUUGUAAACUUCUUUUACCAGGGACGAACAAAUGACGGUACCUGGAGAAAAAGCAACGGCUAACUACGUGCCAGCCGCCGCGGUAAGAC
rnacentral:rRNA from 1 species